UCCAUUGGGUGGGGAGGGCGACGCGACCCGAGACCGGGUCGGCAGGGAGCCACGGGACCGGCGGGAGCUCGGCCGGCGAGUCCCGACACCGGAAGACCGCGGCUCCGCCCGGCAGGCAGCGGGACACACCAGCCUGGGCUGGAAAUCAGGGAAACGAACCCGGAACCUAGACCCAGCGGCGCCGGAACAGGAGUGCGGGUCUGAAUGACUGGAGAGAAAGCGGAAGCGGAAGGAAGGGGGCGUGGCCUCCGAGGCUUCUUGGAGGAGUCGAGGGGCGACUGCGGGCACGGAGGAACCUGAUGUGCCAUCAGCUUGGGCAUUGUGCAUGAAGCCCACCACAUCAUUCAGACUCCAGCACAGGGCAUCUGCCAACAGAACCAAUGACUCAUCAAAGUACUCAGCCACCAUGACCAGAUCAAAGACUGAGUCCAACCAGGCCAGACCCCACUGGAUAAAGGAUGAGGGCCCAAAAUCUGAGGAGGCAAGGCUGGCUGGCUCCUUGUAACUACCAGCAGCUGUGGUAAUAGGUUGGAAGAGAGUUCCAGGGCUAGCACUGGAAGGUACAAUAUGUAGCCGGAGGGAUUUGGGGUCUCUGGAUAGCUGGGGACUCACUCUCAUGGUCUUUGUCUCUGGAGGGGAGGGCAAACCAAAGUCAAACCAUAGUAAGUUACGGGCAUAGUGGUUGCCACGGGCCCCAGGUCUGUAGAAGGCUUGAGGAUUGGCCAGGAAGGCGGCCAAAGAAGGUGCCUUUCGGAAAGCCGAUGAAACUGAUUUGUAAUAGGAGAAGGCAGAGCGGGCUAGAGCCGCUGGAUCUCGGACAAUGGAAAAGAAGAAGCUAUCAGAAGGCAUGACCUGAAGUACCUGCAGAGGAAAGAAAGAGGAAGAGCUUUACUGAGGAGAAAAUGAGUACAAGCUGAGGCUCCGAUGAGCCUUCGGACCCUGCUGUCUACCCUCAGCUUCCCCUCCUAGCUGCAUGACCUUAGGGAAAUUACAUAAUACCUCUGAAAUUCAGUUUGCUUGUCUGCAAAAGGAAAUUAGUCAGGGGUUCCCAGGUGAUUGAAAAGAAUACUGAGAUAAUAACUAGUCAGAAAUCUGGAACACAGAAAGCUCAUAUUGGUCAUUAAUGUCCUUGGGUCUUUGUGUCUUCGUUGGUUGGGAAAAAUUCUCAAACCUGGGGCUGGGGAGACGGCUCAGUCAAUAAAGUAUGUGCCACACAAG